rnacentral:rRNA from 1 species
GACGAACGCUGGCGGCGCGCUUAACACAUGCAAGUCGAACGGAAAGGCCCUGCUUUUGUGGGGUGCUCGAGUGGCGAACGGGUGAGUAACACGUGAGUAACCUGCCCUUGACUUUGGGAUAACUUCAGGAAACUGGGGCUAAUACCGGAUAGGAGCUCCUGCUGCAUGGUGGGGGUUGGAAAGUUUCGGCGGUUGGGGAUGGACUCGCGGCUUAUCAGCUUGUUGGUGGGGUAGUGGCUUACCAAGGCUUUGACGGGUAGCCGGCCUGAGAGGGUGACCGGCCACAUUGGGACUGAGAUACGGCCCAGACUCCUACGGGAGGCAGCAGUGGGGAAUAUUGCACAAUGGGCAGAAGCCUGAUGCAGCAACGCCGCGUGCGGGAUGACGGCCUUCGGGUUGUAAACCGCUUUCGCCUGUGACGAAGCGUGAGUGACGGUAAUGGGUAAAGAAGCACCGGCUAACUACGUG